rnacentral:rRNA from 1 species
GAUGAACGCUGGCGGCGUGCCUAAUACAUGCAAGUAGAACGCUGAAGGAAGGAGCUUGCUCUUUCCGGAUGAGUUGCGAACGGGUGAGUAACGCGUAGGUAACCUGCCUGGUAGCGGGGGAUAACUAUUGGAAACGAUAGCUAAUACCGCAUAACAGUAGAUGUUGCAUGAUAUCUACUUAAAAGGUGCAAUUGCACCACUACCAGAUGGACCUGCGUUGUAUUAGCUAGUUGGUGGGUAACGGCUCACCAAGGCGACGAUACAUAGCCGACCUGAGAGGGUGAUCGGCCACACUGGGACUGAGACACGGCCCAGACUCCUACGGGAGGCAGCAGUAGGGAAUCUUCGGCAAUGGACGGAAGUCUGACCGAGCAACGCCGCGUGAGUGAAGAAGGUUUUCGGAUCGUAAAGCUCUGUUGUAAGAGAAGAACGAGUGUGAGAGUGGAAAGUUCACA